CAGAGUUCAUGCCCUUCGGGGUAGAUCUCCCACCCUUGUGUAUCAUUAUAGAAUGUUGCUUUGGCGGGCCGCGCCUUGUGCGCCUGGAUUCGCGUCCAGCGUGCCCGCCAGAGGACCCCUAAACUCUGAAUGUUAAUGUCGUCUGAGUAUUAUAAAAUAAUUA
rnacentral:misc_RNA from 1 species